rnacentral:rRNA from 1 species
UACGGGGGGAGCAAGCGUUGUUCGGAUUUACUGGGCGUAAAGGGCGCGUAGGCGGUCAGCACAAGUCAGUUGUGAAAUCUCCGGGCUUAACUCGGAAAGGUCAACUGAUACUGUGCGACUAGAGUGCGGAAGGGGCAACUGGAAUUCUCGGUGUAGCGGUGAAGUGCGUAGAUAUCGAGAGGAACACCUGCGGCGAAGGCGGGUUGCUGGGCCGACACUGACGCUGAUGCGCGAAAGCCAGGGGAGCGAACGGG